rnacentral:rRNA from 1 species
GACGAACGCUGGCGGCGUGCUUAACACAUGCAAGUCGAACGGAAAGGCCCUGCUUUUGUGGGGUGCUCGAGUGGCGAACGGGUGAGUAACACGUGAGUAACCUGCCCUUGACUUUGGGUUAACUUCAGGAAACUGGGGCUAUUACCGGAUAGGAGCUCCUGCUGCAUGGUGGGGGUUGGAAAGUUUCGGCGGUUGGGGAUGGACUCGCGGCUUAUCAGCUUGUUGGUGGGGUAGUGGCUUACCAAGGCUUUGACGGGUAGCCGGCCUGAGAGGGUGACCGGCCACAUUGGGACUGAGAUACGGCCCAGACUCCUACGGGAGGCAGCAGUGGGGAAUAUUGCACAAUGGGCGGAAGCCUGAUGCAGCAACGCCGCGUGCGGGAUGACGGCCUUCGGGUUGUAAACCGCUUUCGCCUGUGACGAAGCGUGAGUGACGGUAAUGGGUAAAGAAGCACCGGCUAACUACGUG